rnacentral:tRNA from 1 species
GGCCGGUUGGCCCAAUGGCAAGGCGUCUGACUACGACUAAGUGUUAUCAGGAGAUUCUGGGUUCGACCCCCAGGCUGGUCA